rnacentral:lncRNA from 1 species
AGACUUCUGUUUAAUCGUGCAUCUAUUCAUCCUACAAAUGUUGGUUGAGUGCCUAUCACCUGGCAGGCGCACACUAAUUCAAGCACCCAGGAAUCACUACGGACAAGACGCUUGCACGGACUAAGCAAUUCUGUUUGGAGCUAACUUUUGGGGGCAUCAACGGUGUUUGACUCAAGUUUGAACCCAAGAUCUCCUCAGACAUCCUUCAAACAAGUAUCCUCCGAUGAUUCAGAAACCCCACAAACAGAAAUGUUAGCAAAAGACCUAGGAAAGCUGACCUUCAACCAUAGUGCUAUGAAGCUUUCUUCUCCUUGACCAGAAAAGGACAUCAUCAUCACCACCACCACCAUCAUCAUCAUCUCCACCGCUGGAGGGAGAAUGGGUGGAGAACAGAUGUGGAGAACCAUGGGGAAGGUUCAAAGUGCCUUUCCCAGGAGAAGGGUCCAGACAUUACUGUUGGUACAGAAUGACUCUGUAGCAAAGAGAAACAGAUUAUAAGGAUUGGAUAGAGCUAUUGGUCUUUGUGGAAAUCAGUUUGAAGAAGAUAGUGGACCAUUCAGAUACAUCUGCUCUUUCUGCCUGGAUCAUAGAUGGAUCCUUCUGAGAAUGCUGCCCUGGGGAGAAAGUAGGACAGUCAAUUUAGGCUGAAAUUGUACAUUGCCCUUUACUGCUGAUAAUACUGAUGUAAAAGCUUUUUUUUUUUUUUUGAGAUGAAACUGUACAGAGAUCAUUUUGAAUAA